UCGCCAGAGAAAUUCCUCUUUAGACUGGCCUAGAACUUAGCUAUUUGGAGAGCAGUGGCCUUCAAUGAAAUCCUGUUCACAGUGGCUAAGUUCAGUUCCUCUGAAGAAUUUUACAAUUGCAUCAAU
rnacentral:precursor_RNA from 17 species